AUCACAGACGAUUGGUCAUAUUUACCUGCUAAUAAUCAAAGAUCAAUUAAUUGCCCAAUGAGCCCAGUAACAUGGAUCAGAAAUAACACAGAUUUCCCUUAAGCACUCAGGCAUGUCCUCUCCAUCUGUCUGAAGUUACCAUACAGAACGGAUGAGGGCACCCCAGGGGGACUUCCCAGCCCUAUGUAAUUAGUCCAGUGUCUCCCAGUUCCCAGUCUCCAUUGGCAGUGGGGUCUGUUCCAUUCACUUACUUCUCACGUUCUUCUCAUUGCAGAGGCUGAUCCAGAAAAAAACACGGUUUAUGCCCAAGUCGGCAAUUUGCCACUGCCUCACAGUAGAACGGGGACUCCGAAAGCGAGCCCGGAGACCAAGAAGGAUGAGACAAAAACUAUCUAUUCCAAGGUCCAUUACCCAAACGAGUCGCCUCCGCAAACGGAUGAUGAGAAGUUGUCCAAGGACGGCCUGGAGUCCAUGGAGAAGAGCGAGAGAACCAUUUAUGCCACAGUCAACCAGCCAACCCAGGCA